rnacentral:lncRNA from 1 species
CCUAAUACAAGUCCUUAGACAUCUUUCAUUGCAUAAUCGUAAAAAUAGAAAAAAAAUUUAAACUUUUCAUACCACAUCCUAUGCUAUAACAUUACAUUAUAUAUGUAUAUAAUAUAAUAAUACAUAGUUAGACUGUAAUGUCUCUUUUCCAUCUUAAGACACAAUUCAAUAUAAUAUAAUAGAAUAGGGACAUGAUCCUUCACAACAUAAUAUAUAAUUCUAAGCUAUUACAUUAUAUUAUAGGAACUUCACAUAGGGAAAUCCAUGAAUCAUAAGGAUCCCUCUUCUGGAACUUAGAAGUUCUAUCCAAGAUCUUCACCUAGAAGACUUCCUCUAGCCAUCACCACCUACACUUGGUGUAAAAAGAUAAUGAAGAAUCAUAUUAGUACAGGAAUGCACUAAGUAUGGUAACCAUGCAAAAACAUGUAUUUAAAGAGGACAUUAAAGUAGAAAUCAUGCAACAUGUAUUUUCUCGUAAACUUCAUGAACAUAGGAACAUAUAAGCUCAAUAUAGUUCACAUACAUAAAAUAGACAUGGAUAAUAAGCAUAAUAUCACAUAAAGCCAUUUAUCAUACUAAUAAGCAUAUUCAAUAUACAUCUUAUAUUACCUCUCUUUUAUUUUACAUCGUUUCUUAACUAACCCUCGAACUGUACCUUGUGCAAUGUAUCACAUUGAUGUCACGUUACAAUAGUAUUUCAUAAUAUGUUAAAUAACACUACCACAUAUAUUCACAAUUCAUAAGCACAUCAAUGAAAUCAACUUCACAUAAGAACCAUCACCUAAGUGAACUCCUAAGUUAGACUACUGCAUAUGUAGGUAGCAUACCAUAAUACUACUUCCACCAAGUGGGCCUAAGAAGUCACCCUAGUCUAGACACAACAUACAUCACAUGUCAUAACACAUUCACUUACAACUAUACAUAAUUACACAUGAUUCAUGUAAUCAUAUAAGGAUUCUUUCCUUUAAUAAAACCUUAGUCAUAAAACAUUUAGUUCAUAUAAUAGGUAAACUACCCUCAAAACCCCUUCACAAUCUUACUUGUGCAAUGUACACAUGGAGUCCCAUACCCCCUCAUAUACUAAGUAAACACAUUUAGAAGCCAUAAGUGUAAUUCACAUGCAUAGUCAUAAUUCAUAUCUUAACAUAACAAAGUCACUUAACAUGCAUUCAUACAAUUCAUAUAGAAAAUAAGUAUUUACUUCAUAAGGGUCUCCAAUCCUCUCCUUUCUUGGAGACAUCUUGUGCAAUGUAUAGGUAGGGUCCAUAGUCCUAUAUACCAAGUACACUUCUCAAGGAAUUUAGAUUAGAAUUCAUAUUCAUAUAUUAGCUAAUUAUUAACCAUUGGGAGACAUAGACAUAAAAGACAUAGACCAUGUGAGCUACAUGAAAUCCGAUGAUCUACUCCCACACCAAAAAAGAGAGGAUUAACACUUUUUGAAGGUUCAACAAUCGUACAUAGCUAUUCUCGGUGGAUCCACUAACCUAGAGUCCUAUGUGGGCACAUUGUUAAGGGACAUGGAGAUUUCUUCUAAAAACCUUGACUUUCGAACGUGAGGGUUUCCAUUUGAUGAAACAACACAUAUAUUGGGACUCCGGACUUUCUAAUGUAAAGAAACCCAUGUGGGAGGACGGACUUACUAACGUGAGACCUCCAUGUCAUUUACAUUCCCUUUCGAUGCUAAUCAAUAACUGUAUUAUUAAACAUCAUUAGGCCUUUAGAUAACAUUAGUUCAUAUAGAAUAGGGCUUCGAUACUUGAUCCCUCAUAUAUCCUAUAGCUCAAAGGAUUCUUCGGUCAGAAUUCGACAUUCAUCAUAGAACCUACCUUAUGUGAGAAUAUAAUUUCACAUAAUCAUAUCAUAUUCAUACAUGCAUGUCUGUGUGUAUAUAUAUGUGAAAUCUACCUUCACAUAAACACAUUUAGGCACACAUGUUCAGAACUUCAUAAGUCAUAUACUUUAUAUGAAUAAAAAUAGGUAAUGAUGCAUCGGAGAACUAUCAUUUCCUUCGUCAUCAUGAAUCUAUCCUACUCAUGAAUAUGCAUGAAGUGUGUGUGUACAUUUGUCAAAAUGAUUACAUAAUGGUUAUCACAUAGCAUUGAGGAAGCCACCCUCUAAAGCCACAACACACUUAAAACAUUUUAAAAGUCUCAAGUCAUACACACAUAUAGAGCAUUAAGUACUAUAGACUACACACACUCAUAUUACAUCAUACGAGACAAGUACAUCUUUAGCAAUAAGAUAUACAGCUCCUGGCAUACAUUCAUCACAAAUUCAUAUGGGGUUCAUAUAGGUAGUGGACAUGCGAUAAGGACAUUCUUCAUCAUUAACCAUAUAGACCACACCUAACUCUAACAUGAUCAUCACACUUAAACAUAUAAAAAUAUCCCCACAGCUAGAAUAAGAGAGUAGUGUAGAAGACUAUACACAAAAAUUUACAUAACAUCAAUUCACUUAGACAUGAUAUUAGAAUUAAGGCUAAGUCCUUCAACUUCCUCAUAUAGAAAUCAUCAUAUCAAUUCAUAUUAUAUCUAAUGCCUUUAAGGCCAUGAUCAUAACACAUAAACAUGUACAAGAAAGUAAACACCGCCAACAUAGGUGGACCAUACCAAUCAACACGAUUCAAUGUACACUCUAGGCUAAUUAGAAGAAAUAUGUCAACUUACCAAAUUUCCAAUCUUGUGAUCAUCAUUGAUAAUUCCUCCACAAUUCAUACUAAAUGAUAUAAAAAGUAAUAACAACAAGCAAUUCAGUACAAUCUAAUCACAAUUUUAUAAACAUCGAAUAAAUAUCACAAGACCCACAUUAUACGCUAAUGUGAGAAAUUAGGAGGUCAUGUGUUAUUCAUUAAAUUGGAUAGAAAUUAAUCAUAAAAUCAGCAGACAAACUUAAAUUCAUCAUUACAAUACUUUUGAAUUCAAUUUGAGAAUGAAACCAUGGCUUUAUUGAAAUAGAUGGUUUUUGACUUAGAAUUCGUGUUAAGAAAACCUUUGAAAGUACUCCAUAGAUGAAUGGUUAUAUAUGGAUGAAGGAUCACCAUACCUUAUACAUUAAAAUCCCAUGAAAAUCUGAGAAGAAAGAUCCAAGAAUCUAAAUCCAUAGCUUGUUUUUGAGCUUGGUCUUGAAUGGAGGUUUCGAGGGGUUUUUGGAAGAAAAGAGAACCUUGGGGAUUUGAUUUCUUAAUGUGUUGGGGUUUUUUAUUGGGAAAAGGUUUAAAAAGAUGUUAAAACAGUUCAUAAAACGUCCCCUAUGUUAAAAAAAACCCCACACAAAUAGGGGCUCUUAGACAUGUCAAAAUUGACUUAAAAACGAGGCAACCGGAUUGUGUAAUGGGCUGCACAUCACGGGGAAGACUUCCAGUUAUUCCCCAAAUAAUAUUUGAGGCAGUGAGGUGCGUUCUAGCAGCGCGUUGCGGGGGCAAGGUCUCAUUCAUGCUCCUGCACGCUGCCUUGGGCAGCCGGGCCCUUCGGGUUGUCUCCGGGAAGGCGUACCCCAGAUUUUUUUACCCUUAAAAUGUAUAUUGAGGUACAAGGGUUAACUAAUUGCCUGUCAACUCAAAAAAAGACCUAAAAUCAAUAAAAACAUACAAGGACUCACUAGGACAUCUAAAGACCAUCUCUCGAACAUCUUGGACGUUUGACCUCGAAAUGACUUCAAAUCAUAUAUCUAUACUUUAAAACACCUAAUUAAAAUGUUAUUAACCUUUUUAGUCACAUGCUAGUCUCUGGCUACCUUAGUGCAUUUAACGGGCGUGUCAUCACCAAUCACAAGCUAUCAUAACUGAAGUAAAAGUUAGGAUCACAAAUACCAAAUCUCCUUCGAAAACAAUCAUCAUGGUCUUACCAUCAACCAACAAAUUACAUCAAUCAAAAGUAGUGAACAAAAGAACUAGGUCAAUUGCAUCAUUUGUACCCCAAUUAACAUCAAUUCAUAACCUACGGUUAGGGGAAUUAGGGUUCAUCAUAAAUUCAUCAAUAAUUAGAUCCAAUCCCAACAAUAAAUUACCCUAGUCAAUAAAUACAUGAAUAAGAAUAGAUAAAGCAAGUCUAAUAAUAAAAUCAUUCUUUAAUUUCGAUCAAUUCAUGACCAAGAUCCAAGAUUUGGGGAAUUUGGGGAAGGGAACAUGAUCAACAUAAAAUUGUAUCAAUUAAAAUCAAUUAAUCAAUAAUCUAUACUUAAUUAGUCAUAGGAAAUCACAAUUUAUCAUCAAUUUAAAGUUUAGAAGAAAACCAAUCAGAAUUGGAAAACCCCAUGGAAUUGGAUAUUUUGAAAAUCAACUUUCUGAGGAUCUAUUGGGAAAGGAAUCCCAAGAGUGAAAAAACCAUACCUUAUUGAAGCUUAAUCAAGGAAAUUGAAGUGAAAUCCUAGAGAAAUUGACCUUCUUCUUCAUGUUUUCUUCCUUUUUCAAUGGAGGAAUUGGAGAGAGAGAAAGCAGAAAGAGGUGAGAGCUUUUGGGUUUUAUUUUUG